ACUCAUACCUUGCAGGGGAAAUACCAUGUCAUAAAAUUGGUUUUCCCCGGGUGAGGCUCAUCCAUUGCACUUCAGGUGUGCUGAUCCCUAUGAUUUCCCCAAAUGUGGGGAACUCAACUGCAUAAUUUGUGUUAAUGAGGGAUUGUGUUUGUGAGGUCCCUGG
rnacentral:snRNA from 1 species